rnacentral:rRNA from 1 species
UACGUAGGGGCCUAGCGUUGUCCGGAUUUAUUGGGCGUAAAGAGCUCGUAGGCGGCUUGUUGCGUCGACUGUGAAAACCCGCGGCUUAACUGCGGGCUUGCAGUUGAUACGGGCAGGCUAGAGUUCGGUAGGGGAGACUGGAAUUCCUGGUGUAGCGGUGAAAUGCGCAGAUAUCAGGAGGAACACCGGUGGCGAAGGCGGGUCUCUGGGCCGAUACUGACGCUGAGGAGCGAAAGCGUGGGGAGCGAACAGG